AGUAACGCGUGGGUAACCUGCCUUAUACAGGGGGAUAACAGUCAGAAAUGGCUGCUAAUACCGCAUAAGCGCACAGAGCUGCAUGGCUCAGUGUGAAAAACUCCGGUGGUAUAAGAUGGACCCGCGUUGGAUUAGCUUGUUGGUGGGGUAACGGCCCACCAAGGCGACGAUCCAUAGCCGGCCUGAGAGGGUGAACGGCCACAUUGGGACUGAGACACGGCCCAG
rnacentral:rRNA from 1 species